UGGCAUGAAGGCAAGAAAGCCUGGUUGGUGGU
rnacentral:piRNA from 1 species